rnacentral:snRNA from 2 species
GUGCUCGCUUUGGCAGCACAUAUACUAAAAUUGGACCAAUACAGAGAAGAUUAUCAUGGCCCCUGCACAACGAUGACAUGCAAAUUCAUGAAGCAUUCCAUAUUUUU